CAGCAGGGCCGGCCAGGCCCCUGGUGAGUCACAAAGGUGAGCGAGGCUCCGUCUGGGCCAGCCUGGUGUGACAGCCAGACAACGGGCAGAUGGAGACCAGAAGCCCCCAGGGAGGAGCCAGGGCCUACAAAGCCCCGGCUAGUUCGGGAGACCCAGGUCUGUGAAAUCCCCCGGAGCCGUAUUCCAGCGGCGAAUCUAUCUCCCACAGAGAGACAUUUUGCUGAGAGAGCCCAGGACAUCCUGUGGGGCACCCCUCGAAUCUGGCUUCCAUGUUGCCUGAGGAGCCCCGCUUGGCGGCACCCCUACAUCCGCAGGACGGAGAGCUGCUUGCCCUUCAGAACCCCGCCACGGCGACUUCUCGCCCCAGUGGGAACGUGUAGGUCGCAUCGAGCCAGGCAUGCGGUGUUGAGUCGUGGCACAUCAGCAAGAGGAAAGGGAAGGUGGCAGCCCAGAGGCUUCGCUGGCUUAAUUGUGACAAACUGCUGGAUGGAGAGAACCGUUUAGGUAGAUUCCAGAGCUUGCCUGAUAUGCAUUAUUAAAUGACUUGAUCAAU